CAGAGAAUAGUUUAAUUAAAAUUCUGGCUUUGGGAGUCAGUGAUAGGGGUUAAAGUCCCCUUUUUCUGA
rnacentral:tRNA from 1 species